rnacentral:ncRNA from 2 species
GGUCAUGAGCGCCAGCGACAAGCCCCGGCUCGCUGGCCGGCAACCCUCCUCGUCGUGGGGUGCCCCGGGUGAGGACCUGACCUGGUGCCCCGGCACGGGUAAGGACGAGCC